CCAGUGCCUCAACCAUCCCUGACAGGAAGUUUAUCCUAAUGUCCAACCUAAACCACCCUUGCUGCAAUUUAAGCCGGUUGCUUCUUGUCCUGGCUUCAGAGGUGAAGAAGAACAUUUUUUCUCCCUUCUCCUUGUUACAACUUUUUAUGUAUUUAUA